UAAGAAAUUAAUUAAGGUUGGGGAGAAAAGAAGAACUGAUCUCAAAGUUAUAAGUGCCAUGUGGGAGAUUAUCGAUGUGACGAGACCAAUCUCGCCACAUUGCCCGCCUGCUGCCUUUGGAUUAUGGACCGGCAGUUAAACGGUUAAUUUUACUGUGCAGAAAGAUUUAUUCCUUCCUUUCUGCACAGCCGUUCGGUAGAUUCUAUCUACCGAACAAACAGACUUCUAUCAGCCUCCCCAGAGCCGUGGGAAGUCGGCCGGCGCCGUUAAUUGGCCACCCAGAAGCUGGCGUGUGCCCUCCAUUUACCUCCCUGAAGCCGCGGUUAACCGCGGCUUAACGAGCGUGUGCCGGCAAUUGACCACCCAGUAGCUGCGGUUAACCGCAGCUUAAUUGACUGUUACUGGGUGGUCGCGGUUACACCUAGCCGCCACACGAUGGCGAUGUUCUGGAGCUCCCCGGGCAGCCAGCGCUUUUCUGCCCGGCUUUCCUACGCCAAAUCUGGACACUGUGUCAGCUAAGCACCGCUGAGCCUCCAGCCCCUGGUUCUAAUUCGUACCAAUUUAACGAAUGUAUGUAAAUUCGGUAUUUUGUGUUGGGGGAAUGUUUUAACCCAGAUAGCUAUGCCAUGGAGCCUAUUUGUGUAAUUAAAGACUUUGGCUCCAUGGCAAUUAAACUGUAUUCGUGUGGUCUGAGUGCCAUUCACCUAAUAAUGUGCACUCAGACCUGAGCUAUCUGGGGAUAUGUUACAUGUCUGUGUUUUAUGUAAUAAAUGUUACUUUAUGUAUUUUAAAGUAUAAUACUGGUUUUGUGUCCCCACGUGUGUAAUGGAGUUUUUGCCUUUGUCUUGGGAGAUAAUUGAAUUACUUCUCAAUUAUCUCCCAGGGCAGAGGGGAGGAAGCCAGGAUGCAUAUUGGAAAUAUACUGUGACUGUGUGUCCUAUUUGUCUACUUGUCUGUCCCUUGUCACAGUCUCCCAUUUGGUCCCCUAGGGGAGUGUCCACCAGGUGGGAGACCUGCAUAAAUACUGGGCAGGUAGCCCUCAUUAAACAGACCACUGCUUGACCCUCAACAUGGAGCUCUGUCUCGUCUUUAGGGGGAUUUACUGUAUGCUGAUAGAGACUGAUUGCCAGGAGUGUAAGCCGCUUGGGUGCUUUUCCUGUUCGUCUGCUAGCAGCUAUUCGUGAGGUUCCAGUUCGAGUGUUUGGAGCAUUCCCUUGUAUGCAGUUCGGGUGUUUGAAGCAUUCACUUAUUGGCGGUUCUUGUGUUUGGUGUCCUGCAGUAGCGGUGCCUGCAUCUCUGGAAAGGGGGCCGAUCGCCUAAACGUUUUUUACCCUUUUGUGCAAAACGGUCCGUUACAAUCGAGAUGUAGGGUUAGUUCCCAUAUACGCUUUCAUCACUGUAGGCAAUAUACAGGAAGAAAUCCUCUACGUGGUGUUCCUGAUAGAGUUGGCCCAUUGUGGCACUGGUUGGUGGUAUCAUAUUAUUCACAAAGAAGAACAGAGCAUCUACUGCACGGAGGUGAAUUCUUUUCCGGAUAAGGAAAUAAAACUGACCAACUGUAAGGUCUGAGGGAACCAAGUAUUUCUUCUUGUCUACUU
rnacentral:lncRNA from 1 species